rnacentral:rRNA from 1 species
AGAGCGAACGCUGGCGGCAGGCUUAACACAUGCAAGUCGAGCGGGCGUAGCAAUACGUCAGCGGCAGACGGGUGAGUAACGCGUGGGAACGUACCUUUUGGCUCGGAACAACACAGGGAAACUUGUGCUAAUACCGGAUAAGCCCUUACGGGGAAAGAUUUAUCGCCAAAAGAUCGGCCCGCGUCUGAUUAGCUAGUUGGUGAGGUAACGGCUCACCAAGGCGACGAUCAGUAGCUGGUCUGAGAGGAUGAUCAGCCACAUUGGGACUGAGACACGGCCCAAACUCCUACGGGAGGCAGCAGUGGGAAUAUUGGACAAUGGGCGCAAGCCUGAUCCAGCCAUGCCGCGUGAGUGAUGAAGGCCCUAGGGUUGUAAAGCUCUUUUGUGCGGGAAGAUAAUGACGGUACCGCAAGAAUAAGCCCCGGCUAACUUCGUGCCAGCAGCCGC